ensembl:lncRNA
AGCUCAGCCUGAAAGUCACUGCCAACAUUGAUGUGCCUAAAGGAAGAAGGAGGUGGUCAUAAGAAAGGCAAAUGGCCAAGAGACACCUGCCGUGGAACCACAGGCUUCAACCAAUCCCAGCCUGACUCUGAAAUAGCAGUUCUGCUCCUCGCCAUUCCUCAAGUUUGCUGUCCUUUAACCCCUGUGCCAAAACUCACGGCUCAAUGUUGGCUCUUGCUUUCCUUUUCCUUGUGCCUCUCCUUUCCAUCUGAAAGAGAGCAAAACAAUGCUCCAGAUAAAAGCCACUCUGCCAAGAUGUGUCGCUAGCCUUCCUUCUCCCCCUCAUCAUUGCAAACCACAAGCUCCUCUGUCCCAUCUCCCCUCAGUUUGGUGGAAUUGCUGCCUUUUGCACUUGGAAUUUCCGAGGCAGGACCCUCCAGUGGUCUGCAGCUUCCCCGAGAGGAGAAGCAGAAGGCCACGCACUACUCCCUUCCGUCUUGGCGCCAGUGAGAGGACCCAGGAGAAUGGCAUGGAAGAUGUGCCAGUGGAAAUAAGGAAAAGGUUCCUCAGCCAGAGGAUGGUUGGCCACUGGGACAGCCUCCCCAGGGAAGGGGUCACAGCACCAAGGCUGAGAGAGCUCAAAAAGAGUUUGGAUGCUGCUCUUGGGCACAGGGUGUGAUUCUCGAGGCCAUCCUGGGCAGGCCCAGGAGCCGGGCUCAAUGACCUUUGUGAGUCCCUUCCAACCCAGAAAACUCUGUGAUACUGUCAUUGUGUUCUUGAGAAGGACCUCUCCAGAUGGCAUUCCAUGGCUGCCUCUGACCGCGAGGCAGAACCAGACCUACUGGCAUUGGAAAACAUGGACAAAUCUAUAGCAAUAUCUCCAUGGAAAAGAUAUCCAAUGGAAGCAGAGGGAAAAAAAAUAUAAACAUAUUAAAUGAUACUGCUUCUGUAUAUGAUGGAAGUAUGUAAGUAUAUAAGACUCGCUGAAAGCAGAUCAUUUUUGUAGGUGAAAGCCAGUACUGGAGGGCAAGCCCAGUGAACUGCUUCCGUGUCCUGAAUGGGAGGGAUCUCAGGGGGGAGUUUCCAUCAGUCUGGCUUUUAAAGCUUUGGAGGAUCUGUGAGCAGAGUAACAGGAUUUGUUGACACUGAACCCCUGACUUCCUCAGUAAUAUUCUGGGGUGACCACAACAUAGGUUUAGGACUUUAAUGGGCACCAAUGACUUUUCCUCAGGCCAUCAGUGGAUGAGAAUCUGCAAGUGCACGGUGACAGCUCUCUACGUCCUCUAUGGGAAGGUCUGUAUUUUCACUGGAGGCAGCAUUAUUCCUACAGAAGCUGGGCCCCGCUUUCGUGUGUAACCUUGUCUGGGGAAAGUGAGCACAGAGCAUGUCUGUCGUGGUUGGUGGGACAGCCAACUGGAUCGUGCUGCCAUUCUGUUAGUGCUUUGAAGGCAAACGGGGAUUUUCUUACCUUGGACAUUCCCAAAGUGCUGUGGGGAUGCCUGGCAGCAGACAAGGAGAUGAGGAUGUCUAUGCAGAGGCCAGAUCUGGUGCUGAGGCCAGAAGGGGGCUGGUCAGGGACAGCCCCGGAGCAGAUCCUGCAGCUGCUGCUCCACCACUGCUCCACCAGUGUUCCACCAACGGCCACAGGAGCAGGAGACAACGACAGUUGCUACGGGCACAGCCCAACAUUCCAUGCAGAACCCCAGGGGACCCAGGGGACAGAAAGGGGGAUGGGCCACCUUUGCCUCUCUUACUUCUUCUGGUGCAAGUUUGCUCUGAGGACCUUCCCACUGGGGCAUUUCUCAUCAGUCCUCUGGGCGGGGAAAAGCAGAGCAGGGACAGCUCUGGGUCUUCUCCCUGCUUCUCUGUCAGGUGCCUCCAGCUGGACAUGCGCAGGAGCCUGGCUCUGUCCAAGGGCCCGUACCACGCUGCCUGCACUGGAGAACCAGAAGGAGUCCUGCUGCCUCUGAACCAGAAGGCUCUCCUCCGGCUCUGGGAGGAGCAAGAGGCUGCCGGUUCAGAGAAGAGAAGAACUUCUCUGAACCAGCUCAGUGGAGAACCAACUCCAAAGCUUUCUCUCCAAGUGGAGGCAUUCAUCCUGCCUGCUUUCUCAAUUGCCUGCUGCCCAAGAAUGUCACUGGACGUUUUCUCUCCUUUGGGCUACCGAGCUGCUCUCCUAGCUCAACACUCCUUCCUUGAAACUCGGAGAAACAGGAUGUGUCUCUGGGGAACUCAUGGAGACACACACAGACACAGGGACAACCCACCAGCAUUUCUGCAGCGAACAUUAAUGAAGGAUUUCUAUGUCUAUCUUCCAGCUGCCUUGAAGAAGCUAGAUGUUCAUCUCAAAACUCUGGCAUUCCUCUAAAACACUAACACGAACAGAACUACUUUUCCACACUAAGGGCCUUGGUGUUUGUUUGAAUGCUUAGGUCCCAGCUACGACAAAACCCAGCCGGUUCUAGUGCUUUCCUGCCUAACGUUAAGCAGGAGCCAAUCUUGCUUCCUUCCCAGCCUGCGUGUUACACACACAGCAGCAAACUGAGGGGGCAGCUGUAACAAGGCCCACUGCAAUGCAGGUACUUUGUAGGCUCCAAAUCCCACCAGCUGCCACGGCCUCCAUCAGACGAGGGCAAGCUUUGGUCAGCUUCCCAGAACCAGCCUGGCAAUUCCCCCUCCCUCAGCCCCUGUCCAUCCUCCCCAGCCCCUGCUACCAGAACCUUGCCCGGCAGUGCCCUUUGCUGAGCUGGAUAAAGGAGUGAGCUUGAUUCUUCUUUGCUGCAAAUACCAAAGCUGUUAGAAGUGAGAGGAUCCUGUUCACUCCCGCUCUGCUUUAGCUAAGGAGAUUGGUGAAGCCCAGAGCGGGAGACUGGUCCUUUAAAGAGAAACUGAAACUGAACUCCUGAUGACUUAGUUGUGCAUGUGGAUAUGAAUUUUAUAGAAUCAGAGAGGUUAGGAAAGUCCUUGAAGGUGGUCAAGUCCAUCUGUCCCCCGAAAUGAAACAAAGUUGUUUUUGUUGCUGGGCAACAGAAAGGACUAAACCCGCUGCUUUUAUCCCUCCAAGUAGAGUGAGACAGGACCACUCCUUUAGGUCCAAUCCACUGCGUUAAGCAAAGCCUCCCUUUGCACUCGCAGCCGAGAUUUUUAGGAAUCAAAGGAUGAAACCCCACCCUUCUUUCAGUGGCAGUAACGGAGACAGAUCUUUGUAAGUCCGCCAGCUGAGCAAGGGGCUGGGCCUGUGGGGGACAUCCAAGUGCCCAGAUUCUUCUCUCAGGGAAAAUGCCCUGUUUGCAACACCGAGCAAAUGGAACGAACAUUGCUUGAGUGAUUUCAUGCAGACAAAAAGAGGUCAUGGAGCAAACUUUGGUUUAAUGAUAAAGACAGAUUGUGUCUCAACAAAGACAAAAGGGCAAAAGAUAGCGAACACCAAACCUCUUGCACUUACUGGUAAAUCUAAUAAUACUAAUACAUCGUUAAUAAUACUAAUGCAUCUUAACUAAUAAAUGGAGAGAUUCCUAUCUAGUAAACUAAGUAGAAGAAUAAACAACCCUAGAAACUUAACAAACAAUCUUAUUGCUAUCUAGUCCUCUUGACCGCUAACUCUUGCUAGCCCUGGACAGCUGCAGGCCUCAUUUGCUCUUUUCUUCUUGGGGAGAGGCUCUGCUUCCUUCCGUGGGCGAUGCCUUCUCCUGUGGUUGUUCCUUUCCUUUAUGGUUUCAAACACCCUGGAAGAGAGGAGAAAAACCAUGCAUUGUUAAUUUAAGACACCCCAUUAAACGAGCGCCGAGGUCUCCGUUUUUCUAUGCAUUUCUGUCUUUCCAGGCUGUGACACAUUUGCAAAUGGAUCAGCACCAUGAGUCUGAUCUUUCUUGUCUAGAGUUCCUUCAAAUUUCUCCCUCCUUUGCCUUCAUCCUAGUUUUAAUUGGAUCAGCCCCAUCAAUCCAAGCUUUGAUGCAUCGACUCCCACUUGUAGGAAUUGUGUCUUGUUGGGGCAGGGCAGGGUUUCAUUCUGAAUGCUGGGUUUUAACUAAGCUGUUUGGGUUUAAAGUGGGUUUGAGCACGGCUGCGAGGGGUGAUCCUCCAAGUGCCCUUAGCUUCCCCAGUGGUGCCUUUGAAAGCGGUCAGGCUCUUUUAGUCCAAAGGCGCAGCUUGGAGCAGGAAGAGGAGGAACUUGCGUACCGUUUGCACUGCCCGCAGGGAAAGGGGCCUCUGGCCGAAUGGGGUGGCUGCUGCGGCUGGCAGCAGGGACACUCGGCGCUGCGAGCCCUCUUGCGGCUUCUCUUCCCUGGCUCCCCGUCCUCCUUUCUGGGAGGGCUUUUGCUCCUCUUUGCUUUGUCCACAGUCUGCAAAUCAAAGAGUCCUUAUCAAUGUUUCCUGCCUCUCAGAGAGCUGUCAAUCAGAGCGUCCAGCAGAAAACUCUAUUGGCCUAAGCAAAUUCCUCCAAACCCUGAAGAGCUGAGAAAAUGGCUGGAUUUGGCAGCGGGCUGCCAAGUCAGCGCUUGCAGGAAAAUAUUCCUCUUUUCUACAGCCCAAAGGGGUGGCAUAAAGACAUGGGUAUCUCUAGUUCUAUUGACAUUUCUUAUUUAUACCUCUCUGCCUAACAUCUGUUUAUCUCUAGUUUUCCUCCACAAAUGUCUAGGGAAUGGGUCAAAAUAAAUUCAGUCAAAUUAGUGAAGGCACAUGGUUACCAAUUUUCUACUACCCAAAAGAAUCUCUUUCUCUCUCUCUUUCUCUGAACCAUAUAGCUGUUUGCCGGUAAGGAAAGUUUUAACGGAGCCACAGCAUCAGCAACUCCUCCUUGGGGAGUAUGCUGGGGUGCUAUAAAAGAUCCCUGAAAAUCUGCAGCACCUCCAUGAAUGCAGCCCAGAUGACUGA